rnacentral:rRNA from 1 species
AUUGAACGCUGGCGGCAGGCCUAACACAUGCAAGUCGAACGAGUGGCGGACGGGUGAGUAAUGUCUGGGAAACUGCCUGAUGGAGGGGGAUAACUACUGGAAACGGUAGCUAAUACCGCAUACCUUCAGAUGGACCCAGAUGGGAUUAGUUUGUUGUUGGGGUAACGGUUCACCAGGGCGACGAUCCCUAGCUGGUCUGAGAGGAUGACCAGCCACACUGGAACUGAGCCACGGUCCGGACUCCUACGGGGGGAAGAAGUGGGGAAUAUUGCACAAGGGGCGCAAGCCUGAUGCAGCCAGGCCGCGUGUAUGAAGAAGGCCUUCGGGUUGUAAAGUACGUUCAGCGGGGAGGCGUUACCCGCAGAAGAAGCACCGGCUAACUCCGUGCCAGCAGCCGCGGUAAUUC